rnacentral:tRNA from 1 species
GUCAAAUUAGCAAAAAAUUAAUGCAGUUGAUUUAGGAUCAACAGUUAUAGGCUAAUAAUCCUUUAUUUGAUA